rnacentral:rRNA from 1 species
UGGAUUAUACAGUGAAACUGCGAAUGGCUCAUUAAAUCAGUUAUAGUUUAUUUGAUAAUACCUUUUACUUGGAUAACCGUAAUAAUUUUAGAGCUAAUACAUGCGUGAAAGUGCGACUUUUGUGGAAGCACUGUAUUUAUUAGAUACAAAACCAAUCGAGCUUGCUCGUUACCUUGGUGAUUCAUAAUAACUAAACGAAUCGUAUGACUUUAUGUCGACGAUGAUUCAUUCAAAUUUCUGCCCUAUCAACUUUCGAUGGUAAGGUAUUGGCUUACCAUGGUUACAACGGGUGACGGAGAAUUAGGGUUCGAUUCCGGAGAGGGAGCCUGAGAAACGGCUACCACUUCUACGGAGGGCAGCAGGCGCGCAAAUUACCCAAUCCUGACUCAGGGAGGUAGUGACGAAUAAUAACGAUACGUGACUUCGGUCUAGUAAUUGGAAUGAGUACGAUUUAAACCCCUUAAUGAAUUCCGUUGGAGGGCG